ensembl:lncRNA
GGGAAAACAACAGUCCGUAACAUCUGUGGCACUGUGUUAGAAAUUUAUACAUGAUGUUAAUGUGAAGGGGUGUAAUCCUUGCGCAUUUCUUUGCAAUGAUGCCCUGUACUGGAUCUGCAAGAUGAAGUUCUUACACAGGAUCCAAGGGAAGAAGCAAAGAGCCCUUGACAAAGCUGAACUCUGGGCUUGCUGCUCACAGCCUCAUCAAAGAAAGUAUGCAGAGGCAAGCGUGUGUAAUGACACAUAGAAUCAUAGAAUGGUUUGGGUUGGAAGGGACCUUAGGAUCAUCUAUGAUCCCAUGGGCAGGGACGUCUCACACUAGACCACGUCACCCAAGGCUCUGUCCCACCUGGCCUUGAACACUGCCGGGGAUGGAGCAUGCAGAACAUCCUUGGGCAACCUGUGCCAGCGCCUCAUCACCCUCACAGCAAAGAAUUUCUUCCUUAUAUCUGCCCUGAACUUCUCCUGUUUAGGUUUAAACCCACCACCCCUUGUCUUGUCGCUACAGUCCCUGAUGAAGAGUCCCUCUCUGGCAUCCAUGUAGGCCCUCUUCAGAUAUUGGAAGGCUGUUGUGUUUUGGUUCCCCCCUGUCCCUUCCUCUAAAGCAAGACAUGCAAAAAUGCACAAAAAAAUAUUCAUGGUUCUGAACCUAGGCAACAUCUGCAGAUAAAACUGGUUCAGAGCCUGCUCUGGACUGCUCUUUAAAAGGUGGAAUUCCAGUUAUGAAAAGGUACGUCUCGCAUCAGUAAGCAUUUGUUAGAAUAGGGCAAGUAUUGUCCCAUUCCUAGAGGUGGUCACUGAAGAAUUGAAAGCCUGCAAGUAACUAUGAGAUGGCUGCUUAGAUCUGAACUUCUGAACUUAAUUUUCUACUGUUUCAGUUAUGGUAGGAGAACGUGUAAAUAGCACAAGCCAGGUUUCUUAAGUGCAGUAUUUUUUAUCCUUGGCUCAUCGCAUCCAGCUUGCAUUUUAUUUCAUCAACUGUUUUGUAUUAAUAACUCCAUUUCUUUUAACUGUGCUGUUAGUAAACUGCCUGGCAAAGUACAAAGCUGGAAGACAUACUGGUGAUUCUUUUCAAGUAACUUUUUAAUCCAAGAGGUAAAUGGGCAAUAAGUGCACAUGUGGACAUUUGGAGAUAUAAGGGUCAUGUGUUUAUUUUUCUAAUAAUUUAUGAGUUAAUCUGAUUUUCUAAUGUGCCUUGGAUUUGUGCCAAAUGAUGGAAAGAAAAAACUAGUAAAACAACUCCUGAAAAUGCUA